AUUGUUAUAAAUAAAUAUCCGAGAUGGGGUAAUUUAUGAAGAAAAAGAGGUUUAAUGGACUUACAGUUCCACACAGUUGGGGAGGUCUCACCAUCAUGACUCAAGGCAAAGGAGGAGCAAGGGCAAUGAGGGCUUCCAUUCUGGCUCUUCACCAUGAUAACCUUGGGGGCUUCCUGGAUUUAAAACCCAGGAAAGCAGGGGUUGAGAAGGGAGAGCCUUUGACCAUGGUCUCUAGCAGUUUUUCACUCUCCUAAAUGUCCACGUUCAGCCUCCAGCAAGUUGUCGAAGUCACCGUAAGUGUUCC
rnacentral:lncRNA from 10 species